CGGAACGUUUCCCCAAGCGGGAGGGAACAUGAGCCGCUGUAAAGUGAGCCGCCGGUUCGAAUCCGGGCGUUCUGA
rnacentral:tRNA from 1 species